AAAUAAAAUAAAAAAAAGACACCGGCAACAGUUCUCCGGUGAGUUGCGUUGUUUGCUGCCGGUCAGGAAAAAGUGAACCGGAUGCGUUAAGUUCGGUGCAUUGGUUGCAUAAAUUAGCGUUGCCAGCUGGCAAGAAAUUUAUGCCCAGAAUAUACAACCCUAUCUAUAAUAAGGGAUUGAUAGGUGAGAUAAAGAGAAAAUAAUAAAUGUUGAACAAAUGCGCGAGAAAUGCUGAUAAAUAGAAAUUUGCAACUGGCUGCGGCCAUAUAAAAGGCAUAACGGGGCAAAAUUUGAGAUAGAUUUUAUUUGGUGCUUUAGAGAGAAACCAGUUUUUCCUUGAUUAAAAAAUCUUCAACAAAAAAGAUUUAUAAAUUUGAAAAUAAAAAAAUCCAGGAAAAUAUACAUUUUUUUUGUGUGAUUAACGUUUUUAUUUUGUUGUUGUGUACGCUUGUGCGUUCGUGCCAAAAAAAACGUCGCCGACAUCCACAUCAACGAGUCAGUACAGAGCCCUCCUGGCUCAUGAGCGGAGGAGGUCAGCCAAAAUUUUUCUGGAAUAGACGAGUAACUGGAUAUAGACCUAAAAUUGAAUUUGGCCCAGCAAAUGGAGUCUAACCACAGAGGCAUUGGGAUUGUGGUUUAGGAUUGCUGUCUGUCUGUCCACAAAAAGGAAAUCGUGGUAAUCCAUGCUGAUGUUCUGGAUCUAAAAAGAUGCUAGAAAUGAAGACAUUAUAACUAUCGGAAAACCAGGUAACUAAAUUGCUUACCGGCUUUAACCUCCAUUUUUAAAAAUUGUAUGCCGAGAGCCCAAAUGUCUUUAAGAAGUCUAAAAAGAAAGACAAAAAAAUAAGAAUUGAUAUGAAUAUGUAACUUAAAACAAUCAAACAAAACACCAAAUUACAUCAAAAUUUAAAAAUUAUAAAAAAAUAACGAAAUAUUUAUGUAUUAGUUUAAGUGAAUGUUAGUAGUUAGUAAGUAGUAUAUAAGAUUUAUGUGUUUGUAAAAAUUUUUAAUGCCAGACUAAGUUCGGAAAGUGUACGAUUACCCCGAAUCUAAAAAAUUAGAUUUGCUUGAAUUUGUGGGACCAAUUGGUUAUGUCCCCCGUAACCAGCUAAGGGAGCUCUCUUAGGUGAAGGAUUUUUUUUUCUUUUUUUGAAUAGAGUGGCCGAUUUUGACCAAAAUUCGAUGGUAUAAGGUGGUAGUCCGAAUUAUUGACUUUUCGCUAGAACCAGGUGUUAGGAAUUUAAAACUUUGACAAAAAAUAGUAUGAAUUUAAUAAAUUGUUUUAAUUUUUUUAAGUUUUUAGAUUAAUAUGAA